rnacentral:lncRNA from 1 species
GGGCCCAUAAAACAUGUGUGAUCCCGUGAUCCUGUUUUGUUUUUUAUUAUGGCUGCAGGCAGUCACCUGUCCUCUGCCCUCUGCGCUCAAUGGCCUUUCUCCUAGAAAGCCUGCUCCUGCAGCAGGCAAGCAGGAACACCUCACUGGGCUUGAACUUGGGAUCCUCCCGCCUCAGCCUCCCGGAAUACUGAGAAGACAGGGUCUCGCUAUGCAGCUCAGGCUGGCCUUGGGCUCAUUUUGUAGCCCAGGCUGGUCUCGAACUCGCAAAGAUCCUCCUGCCUCAGCCUCCCAAGUGUUGGGAUUACAGGCCUGCACCACCAUGCUGGAUCUGUGCGCAGUGUUGAUGGACCCAGUUCGGCCCAGGGUCCCGCGAGCCCCAGGCGUACCCAACCCGCUCUAAGACCGCGCGGACGCCCAGCUUGGCGGCCCGGCUGUUUUCG